AGAGUUUGAUCCUGGCUGAGGACGACCGCUGGCGGCGCGCCUAACGCAUGCAAGUCGAACGAGCGAGAGAGAGCUUGCUUUCUCGAGCGAGUGGCGAACGGGUGAGUAACGCGUGAGGAACCUGCCUCAAAGAGGGGGACAACAGUUGGAAACGACUGCUAAUACCGCAUAAGCCCACGGGUCGGCAUCGACCAGAGGGAAAAGGAGCAAUCCGCUUUGAGAUGGCCUCGCGUCCCAUCCGCUAGCUGGUGAGGUAAUGGCCCACCAAGGCGACGAUCGGUAGCCGGACUGAGAGGUUGAACGGCCACAUUGGGACUGAGACACGGCCCAGACUCCUACGGGAGGCAGCAGUGGGGAAUAUUGCACAAUGGGGGAAACCCUAAUGCAGCGACGCCGCGUGGAGGAAGAAGGUCUUCGGAUUGUAAACUCCUGUUGUUGGGGAAGAUAAUGACGGUGCCCAACAUGUGAGUGACGGCUAACUACGUGCCAGCGGCCGUGGUAAAAUUAGGUCACCAAGCUUGUUCGGAAUUACUGGGGGUAAAAGGGGGGCAGGCGGGAAGGCAAGUGGGAAAGUGAAAUUUAGGGGCUCAACCCAUAAACUGCUUUCAAAAAUUGUUUUUCUUGAGUAGGGCAGAGGGUAGGCGGAAUUCCCCGGUGUAGCGGUGGAAAUGCGUAGAUAUCGGGAGGAACACCAGUGGCGAAGGCGGCCUACUGGGCACCAACUGACGCUGAGGCUCGAAAGUGUGGGUAGCAAACAGGAUUAGAUACCCUGGUAGUCCACACCGUAAACGAUGAUUACUAGGUGUUGGAGGAUUGACCCCUUCAGUGCCGCAGUUAACACAAUAAGUAAUCCACCUGGGGAGUACGACCGCAAGGUUGAAACUCAAAGGAAUUGACGGGGGCCCGCACAAGCAGUGGAGUAUGUGGUUUAAUUCGACGCAACGCGAAGAACCUUACCAAGUCUUGACAUCCCUUGACAGGCAUAGAAAUAUGUUUUCUCUUCGGAGCAAGGAGACAGGUGGUGCAUGGUUGUCGUCAGCUCGUGUCGUGAGAUGUUGGGUUAAGUCCCGCAACGAGCGCAACCCUUAUGGUCGGUUACUACGUAAGAGGACUCUGGCCAGACUGCCGUUGACAAAACGGAGGAAGGUGGGGAUGACGUCAAAUCAUCAUGCCCUUUAUGACUUGGGCUACACACGUACUACAAUGGCGUUAAACAAAGAGAAGCAAGACCGCGAGGUGGAGCAAAACUCAGAAACAACGUCCCAGUUCGGACUGCAGGCUGCAACUCGCCUGCACGAAGUCGGAAUUGCUAGUAAUCGUGGAUCAGCAUGCCACGGUGAAUACGUUCCCGGGCCUUGCACUCACCGCCCGUCA
rnacentral:rRNA from 1 species